GCACCCCCCAAACGAGCUGCUCAUGGCUCUGUCCCGCACCCUGCCCUGACUGGGCAGCGCCUGUUGGUGCCCCUUCACUUUGGUGCCCCGGGGCAGUCCCCUGUUCACCUUCCCCCUUUCUCCACUGCUAUGGCACUGGCCUCUCUGUUGGAUGCAUUUGUGGUGACUUUGUAGAACUCCAGUGGGGGGGGAGGGCAGUUCUAUGUCUGUAUUCUUUGUUAUUCUACAUUUUUGUAGCACUUCAAAGUGCUGUGAUACUUGUAGUGCUAUAAACACAUGUGUGAACACAGCCAUUGGCUCGAUAACAUCACCAUUAUUCCAUCUGAGGAAGACUAGAGUGGCAUCCUUUGAAAGCCUUUCCUUGCAUUCCCUUAAAUUGGUAGAAGGGUCACGGUUGAACAACAUGCAGCAAUGCUUGUCCCAUCUGGGCUGAAUGCUCUGCUUCAGCCUUCUUCCUAGAGUCUGGCAACUCAAGGAAUUAUCUUUUCAAGGGUAAUGCUUAUGACUAUAUAUAAUUCAUGAUUACAAUAUGAUCACCCUUACACACAACAUUCCUGUUGACCACUGGGAUUUGGAAAAAUGCUUGUGGUCUACCAGUUCUACUUAACUGCAUUGUGAAAAUAGUUGAGGAAGAAGACUUCUGUUGAAUAUUUUUAAAUCCAAAGGUUUGAAAUGCCCAGUUCCUACAUGUUGGCAUUUUAAACUUGAAGUGGCAGUCGUUCUAGUAUGUUACUGGCCUGCAGAAACUUUGUGCCUUUUUCAAGGAAAAUUUGCUAGAUACUCUCUUGCUUCCAUUGAAACCAAUGGAAGUUUAUCCUAAAUGGCUUUGCUAAAAUUAUUUGUAUUGUGGACAAUUUCAUGAAGGCAAUUGCAUGAAGAUGGGAAUUAACAAGUUCAACAAGAUACCUCACGCCUGCAAAUGUAUGCCUAUGCUUAAUUUUACUUGCAUUGAUUUCUUCCAGAAUCUGUGGAAACAGGGACAUUUGAUGUAGCUUAGACCAUUGAUUUCACUUGACAUGCUUGCCUGCAUAAAGUCCAACUGUUUCUAGGGUCUACAACUUAGUUGUCAUCCUGACUAAGAAAUCAGCAUUUGCCACAGAAUUUUUGCUAGAUGAUUUUUAACCAAACAUUAUAAAUAGUACAUUUUUUUUCAAAAUCCUGGAAAUUCCAAAAUGUUACUAGCAUCCCUCAGAAAUUUUACUUUAGGUACCAGCGUCUCCUUCAACCUUUGGAGUAGGAAAAUUUGAAAAGUUUCACACCAUUUUUAACAUUUGUUAUGCAUCAGCUCUGUCUUCCAAAGGGAGGCCUAGCACCCAGCUUGCUGGACUUACAACGGACUUUUUCUAUUUCCCCACAGACAUACCUCAUCUAACCAAAACUAAGCAGAAGAAAAGUUUACUAGGCAUCUCGGGCCAUACAUUCUGGUCCCACUAUGGGAGACCUAUUUAAACUUGAUUGACUAAAACUCGGUUGCCAGGUUAGGGAAUGCUGAGGCAAAGAAACCGAGUGAGAGUGGGUAUGGGCAACAUUUGAACAAUGGUCAAGGGUUCAUCACAGCGUCCAGCCCGUUGGAGCCCUGACCACAAAUACCGUCAUACUUUUCCCAGGAUGACUGAUGGAAGUCCUCCCCACAAAGUUUAUGAACACCCCAAAUAAUCCCCUUAAGUCUGUUAAAAGGCUACGGUAAAUCUGAGAGUCAUGAUAAACUGAGGUUUAUUCACAACAGGUAAAAUAGAAAACACUGAUGCUGGCGUCACAGUGCAAGCAUAGCUAGGCCAUCUAAGAAGAUCCCUUCCAGUAUAUUCAUAAUAAUUUCAAGUUGGCUCCUAGGUGUCUGGUUACUCCUUAAAAUUUAAUGUUUUUCCUGGUUGUUAAUCAGUUUCUUGAAUGUUCCAAAUCAGAUAACCCCUUGUCACUGAGAAAGGUAUUUCAUUUAAAUUUAAACUGUUUAUAUAACAGGAUUUUCCCUGUUAUUUAUGGCUUGGGACUCUCGAUUUACACAAUUAAAAUAAUGCUUUGAAGAGGCUAAACUAGGGGUAGAAGAAAGCUGUAAAAGUAGCAAACAGUGUGCUUCAAGGGAGAGACAUCUCUCUGACACCAUCCGUUGUUGUUCUAGAGAAGCUGGGAGAAACGGAUCGUCUCCCUUCAAGGAUCGUGCUGAGACCUUUGCUUGUCAACAAAUCACCCGAGUGCCUUGGAACGGAGGAAGCUGCUUUGAAGAUGAUGAAUGGAACAUGUCUGAACGUGCAGGAUUUCCAGGAGGAUCCAUCUUCAACAUACAGGUUUCUGACUAUCUAUCUUCAACAUCAUCAUCACUAUCUACAGUUUAUCUGCUAAUGAUACCAGUGUUCCAGUCAAAUGUAUGUCACAUGGUGUAUCACCUGUAGCAAAAAGAAAAAAAUCUCCAUUUUCCAGAAACAACCAUAGACAACUUUGGAAUAAGAAUUAGCAGAUUACAGUUAGAAGUAAUUGAUGAAAAAAUUGCUUGGUUCAUUUAUGCAACAAACUCUCCUUUCUGUGUGGUUGAGAACACACACUUCAUUGACAUGGUUCAGUCAUUAUGACCAGGAUACAGUCCAUUCAACAGAGCAGAUAUAGCAGGCAAAUUGCUGGAUAACGUAUAUGAGAGAGAAACUGACCAGUGUGCAAAGAGACUAGAGGGGAAAAUUGUUAACCUGAGUCUUGAUGGGUGGAACAAUGUCCACAGUGAUCCAGUAAUAUGUGCUUGUGUGACAACAGAAGAAAGGACUGUCUACCUUACAGAAACAAUUGAUACAUCAGGAAAUGCACACAGCAGAAUACUUACAAGAAGUAGCAGUAAAAGCUACAACAAACUGUGAAAAAAAAUUCAAAUGUCUAGUACACAGCUUUGUCACAGACAAUGCUGCAAAUGUAUCAAAGAUGAGAAGAAAGUGAACAAACCCCAAGCAAUAACAUAUGGCUAUAGUACUCUUUUGAUGCACCUCUGAGCCAAAGACUUCAGUGCUGUAGAAAUAAAGGCUAAUGUUGCUGAAACUGCAAAAUACUUCUGUAACAACCACUUUGCAGCAGCUGCUCUGGAGCAAGCAUGAGGAACUAAAUGAACUCUUGCACAGGACGAGCAAUGGAGCCCAGUAGUGGGCAGUUUUCAUUGAUAUGCUGAGAACUGGCCUACUCUGAUGACAAUUUCUGAAUAAAAUCAUGACAAAAUAGAUGGAACUGUCAUAGCCAAUGUUCUCAGCACUGAGCUAAAGAGAAAUGUAGAACUUAUGUUAGCUACCCUGAAGCCUAUUUCCGUAGCCUUGCACAAAGUACAGGGAAAUUGCUGUUUUAUUGCUGAUGCUGUUGAAAUUUGGAAGGAACUGAGUGAGACCAUGAAAAGAGAAAUACUCAAUGACAGUUAAAUUACAAGCAUUAAAAAACCCAAAUGGAUCAAGCACUAUCUCCAGAUUAUUUUCUUGCCAAUGUUCUCAAUAUUCAGUACCAGGGUCAAUCUUUAACUUCAGAAGAAGAGGAGUUGGCUAUGACAUGGGCAUCCAGCAACCUGCUUUCCAUAAUACCAACUAUAAUAAAUUUCAGGGCUAAGGGUGAACCAUUCAAGAAAUAUAUGUUUGCUGAUGAGGUUUUAAAGAAAGUCACACUAGUGAACUGAUGGAAGUCACUUAAGCACCUGGAUCCAUCAGAUUAUUGAAGUGAUAAUCCAGUUUUUAACAGCAGUGGUUUCUUCUGCAGGUUUAGAAAAAAUAUUUUCUUCCUUUGGACUAAUUCAUUCUAAAUUGAGAAAUCACUUGGGAACUGAAAAAGCAGGAAAGCUUGUCUUUCACAGACUCUCUUUUCCAGUCUGUGAAUAAACAGGAAGAGGAUGGUGAAGACUGAGUUUGUUGCAUAACCCAGUAUUUUAAGUUUCUCGUGUUGACCUGACUGAAAUAAUCUAUUUAAUUUUUUGUUAAAAACACAUUUCACAUUUAUAACUAAAAUAGUUAAAAAUUCAAAAAUACAUAUUCUUGUGUUGUUAAAAUAAUUCUACGUGUUUGUUGUUGAAGAAAAAUUUCCAAAAUACAUAAGCUUGUUUUUUUAGGUAAAUACAACAAUUUAAAUGUCUUUUGUUUUGUAUGAUGGUUGUUGUUGUUGUUCUCCUAAUACAGAGUGGCAAAAAUAUCCCCCAAAUAUCCAGGAUUAAUCUAGAGAAUUGGAAAUAGUUCACCUCCUAAUGACUUCACAAGUAUCUGCUUCAGUUAGCCUUGGUAAAUAAAAUAGCCAAAUCAUAAUUCAGUUUUCUGAUGUAGCUGCAAAAUUAAUCUGAAAAAAAAUCACAAUAAAUCACUGCUUUAAAAUGUAUAGUGUUAGUGUGCAGGGGUGUAGGUUUUAGCCGUGUUGGUCUAAGGACAUAGGCAGACAAGGUUCCUUGGUUGAAUUUGAUAUCUUUUAUUAGACCAACCCAAAUAGUUGGAGAAUAGUUAUUAGUGUUAGUGUGUACCUUCUAAAAAUGAAAACGUACAUGUAUCUCUGAGUUGAGAGUAAUUGUAUUAAUGUUAUAUCAAGCAACUUUUUGUAGGAAAAAAAUGAUUACAUCAUGGCUUCAUGACCAGUUUUUAAAUCAAUUUGAUUUAAAUCAAAUCCACCCUGGCACUAGUUGGUCUGAUUUUCACAACUGUGGUGCAUCCUGCAGUGUAGAAAAAACUAUAACACAGAGAAUGUGUGAUUAUUUUUCAACUUCUAGGACAGAGAACAUUGCUCCUCCACUCUGACAUUCAGAAUAAGGAAGCACAGUUAGGUCCACACCAUCCAAAAAGAGCUUUGAACAUUAUGCACUGUUAAUAAAAGGACAGGGACAUCUAAUUAUGACUUUUCUAUUCAUCUGUCUAAUGUCUUGGGCUUGAUCACUCUUCUUUAUUGAUUAGAUUUAGAAAUAGUGUUCCUUACUCCCUGCACUAAGUAUCUGCAAACAUGUCUAACAAAAAUAGGAGAGCUGCAAGUUUAUUCCCAGAAUUCUACAGAUACCCUCAUCCAACUGAAAGUUUUGUUUGUAUUGUCAAAGAAAACUCACCCAGACCCACAUGUUUUAAGCUCCCCUUGGCCUAAGUAGCCUUCAGAACUGUCUCUUCCCUUGGCACACUUCCUGGGCAUAGGCUCUCUGCUGGUUACACAUCCUGAAACCUCAUGGUCCAGCUACCCUAUGCAGUUUAUGGACACCCUGAUUGCUUAAUAAUUACAUAAUUUUGCAGAGCUUCAACUUUGUGGAGCCUGGCUUACCACUCCAGACACAUGUGAUAAUUGAAGCAUGUAAAACCACAGGGUUUGUGGAAGGCUCCAGAACCCCUGCUGGUGGAAUUUUUGCACUGAAAACUAAGAUGUCUGAGGCCUGGGAAGAUGCUGAACCAGCUUUCGCUAAUUAGCUUCAGUGCAUUGGUUGAUUUGGCUGCAGAUUUCUGUCUUAGUAUUUGAUCUGCAUUUCUAAAGAGAAAGCAUUGGAACCUUUUUGCAAGUCAACUAUUUGUAUUAAACACUUCACCUCCUUUUCUUGAAAGGGCACUUUAUGGGUCUGAAUCACGGGCAACUAGUGCCACCUUAAUCAAUGACCUGGGGUGGGGGGUGGUCCUCCACAGCUGAUCGCACUGAUAGGGAAGUGGCUGCAGUGCUCCUGGGAGCAGCUGUGGCACUACAUCUGGCACUCCCACUCCGUGGCCAGCUCUCACACAGGAAGCACCGGCACUACUGCCUGCCCCCGCCCAUUGCCUAAGCGGGGAGCGCAGCCUGUCAGGGGGUGCACAUGCACCCCCGUGCAACCCCUACGCGUUGCCACUGGUCUGAAUACCUUUUUGUGUUGGUCCCUCUACUUACCUUCACCUCUAAUUAUGCACCUUUAGAAAGGCCAUAACAAUCCAGCACAACUCAU